CCCCCAGCGCGGCGGGCAGGGAAGGGCUCGGGUUCGGCUCAGCCCCCACCCCAGAGCUUCCCCGGCCGCCUUGGCCGCCUACCUGAUCGACCGGUUCCCCUCCCCGGUGGGCUCGGCAGGGCUCUUCCCCUCGCCCGGCUCCGUCAAGCUGCUAUCGGAGUCCCUCCUUCGUGGUACCUUCACCGACAAGAAAAUCGAAAAGCGCGUCUCACCAGUGCCACGGGUGCUUUCACCGCAUUAAGAGGGCUUCCCCCCCCCCCCCCCCCCAUAGAGGCAAAGUCUGUUCUGAGAUUUGUGGAUCAGUGCUCUCAGGCAUUUCAUAAGGUAUUUUUAACCUGUUGCAAAGUCAGGCAACACUCGAGAGUGGAAAUAACACCAAAACUUCAGCAUAGGGAUGGCCUGCUAUCACAUACACCAGCCCUGCACACCCAUACACCAUUAGGAGUCCUGCUGCCAUUGCUUGCUAGUCUUUAAAUUUUCAAACAGUUCAAAACCCCAGACCAGGGGAAGGACUCACAGAGAUUUGGACCCUAGACUCUUGGAACAAGUUUCAAAUUCCAGCAGCCUUCUGUUUUUCCAAGACAGAUAAACUAAGUGGCUUGCUGAAUACUGCAUGUGUUUUCAGGCAAGAUCUGGAAAACAGCAGGUCUUUCCUCAGAAAGGACAUUAAACAUCCUGUGACACUUUUCAUGAGAACUAAGAUAAAAUUGGAUCUUUUCUUAUGGUUCCCAAACACUGUUGCUGGACAAGAGCUGCUUGGUUCUUGUCAUUCCCCCAGGACCUUGCUGACUUUCAGUGCUGCUAUAAAGAGCAAGUGCAAAGCUCCCAGGAGUGUGCAAGCAGAGCAUUCGGAGAGUGACAGGGAGACAUUUGCUAUGCUGGUCUUCAGGAUGAAGUUCAAAAUCCUUCAAGAUGACAGAGCUACUCUGUGCAGUAUAGCCAGCCACACAGGACAGCUAGGAGAGACUCAUACUUCACCUUUUUCUGCACACCAUGGGAUGAAGCUAAACACUGGGCAGACCACAUCACCUAUGUACAUCUUCCCUAGCAGUACACCUCUCCUGCAGCAUGGCAGCUCACAGCAGCUCGAGAGAAAAGGAGCUACUUUUCCCUACCAUCCGUGUGGGUAACAAAAGCUUGUCCUUGAACGAGAAAAAAAGUGCAUCUCUUACUUUCUUGGUGAGUUUUUUAUUUUUUUCCCCUUCUUUUUUAUAGUUUUUUUUAUAUAUUUUGGAAAGAUUUUUAAUCUUACGUGGAUUAAACUGUGCUUCACGUUGAAAGAUUUUGUCAAAAUACACUCCUAACAUAGUUGCAAUGCACUUCAUUUGAACUGUGUAGCUGCAAGAUAAUAGCUCUGAACAACGUGUGCAUUGAGCUACCGGUCAAGUGACUGGGAAUCUCAAUAUCGCAGCAAACUUCCUCUGCAAGUCUGGUUGGCAGCAUCUCAAUGACAACUCCCCAUCAGCAGUGGGAAUGACAGCGGUUAUCUCUGUUGGCUGCUGACAUCGUCUGGGUUCACAACAGGUAAUGUAUCUCUGUGGUGUGGAAAGGAUAUUGCCAGAGUGCCACAGAACCGUGUGUAUUUGACAUACCCGGGACAUGCAGAGAUGCAGUAACACCACUCACACCCUGCUGACCGGCCGUUGGCACUACAACAACUUUAAAACGCUUUUGUGCUGUUUAAUUUUUAUAUAAAUUAAUUUUAAGCACUAAAGUAUCCUAAGCUAGAUAUCGCCAAAACAACAUUCAUGACUUCAUUUGGUUCUUGGAGCAACACUCUUAACAGUAAUAGAAAUACAAGGUUUUGGGUUACAUGCAUGUGUUACAUAUUCGUGAGAGGCUUCCUUUUGUCACUGCUAGAACAGCUUUUUCUCAUGCAAGUUUCAGCUGCUGACACCAGAUAAAUGACCCAUUGCAUGGCUCCAUUUAGCCGUUUGACGAGCAACAGAAUAGGACUCACCUGUAAUGGCCUUAACCCUCCAAAGUUGCAGGACUAUGCAUGUUGCUUUCUUUAGAAGUGCUGUAAUCAAGAUAUGAAAGGAGCACAUGCCCUCACCUGGAGUGCCUGACCAGGCAAAGAAAACACAGACAGGAAUUGACUUGUUUUGGUUUGUUUCCUAUGCAAACAAGAAUAAUACUUUUGCACUCUUUUACACUUUGCAGAACACAAAAAUAAACAAAGUAUAAUCCUAUGGAAUUUAACA
rnacentral:lncRNA from 1 species